AAUUCCCAAAAUUUUAUCCUGACACAGAGAAAGGAAAUUUGAGAAGAAAAAAACAAGAAAACGUAUUCCAUCACCGACAUAACUUCAAGGAGUCAACUUUUGAUUUAUGGUUUUGAAUGGUUUGAUUACUGAUUGGGUUGGAAUAGUAGAGUACCGGAAUGGGGUUGGGCUGAUCAUCGGUUUCAUGACUGCUACCGGCGAUAAUUCGUCGGAAUUUUGAUAACCGAAAAGGGAGAGGUGCGAUGAGUCUCCGGCGCUAGUGGCACAGAUCCGGUGAGGGAUCAGCCGAUAGGGAAGCGGUGGGCUUCGCUGAUGGUGGUGGAUCUGAUUAGGGGAGAAAGGGAAAGAAGGGUGACGCUAAAAAAAAUGGCGAUUGCCAGAAAAGCAAUCCAAUAUUUUGUUCAUUUUUUUUGUUUUCUCUCUCUAUCUCUCGAUUCCUAUCUCACUUCUUUUUUGAUUUUUUUACUCUUUCCGGUGUAUGUGUGCCUAUGCGUAUGUGAGGAUCUAUGAAUAGGUGUAUGUACUAUGUAUUGUUGUGUGAAAUAAUGUGAAUGGUC
rnacentral:lncRNA from 1 species